rnacentral:rRNA from 1 species
GACGAACGCUGGCGGCGUGCCUAAUACAUGCAAGUAGAACGCACAGUUUAUACCGUAGCUUGCUACACCAUAAACUGUGAGUUGCGAACGGGUGAGUAACGCGUAGGUAACCUGCCUGGUAGCGGGGGAUAACUAUUGGAAACGAUAGCUAAUACCGCAUAAUAUUAAUUAUUGCAUGAUAAUUGAUUGAAAGAUGCAAUUGCAUCACUACCAGAUGGACCUGCGUUGUAUUAGCUAGUAGGUGAGGUAACGGCUCACCUAGGCGACGAUACAUAGCCGACCUGAGAGGGUGAUCGGCCACACUGGGACUGAGACACGGCCCAGACUCCUACGGGAGGCAGCAGUAGGGAAUCUUCGGCAAUGGACGAAAAUCUGACCGAGCAACGCCGCGUGAGUGAAGAAGGUUUUCGGAUCGUAAAGCUCUGUUGUAAGAGAAGAACGGGUGUGAGAGUGGAAAGUUCACACUGUGACGGUAUCUUACCAGAAAGGGACGGCUAACUACGUG